ACUUAAUAUGUUGAAUAUGGUUGCUUAAAGCAUCAAAAUGGGAACACUGGUGAAAAUCCAGGACAGCCCCGCUACUGUAUGAAUGACGAAUCCCUUAUAAGAAUCCACUGGGUAAGCCCGGGAAGGCAAGGGAGGAGGAUGAUUUCGAGUCAGGAGACCUGCCAUGUUCAAAAGUCACAA
rnacentral:ncRNA from 2 species